ACUGACACAGAAUGAGAGUCCGGCUUCAAAUACAUUUACACACCACUUAAUUUCUCCUUUUCAUAAUUACUAUAAGACGAGGAAUAUCUCCACUGCAUUUCUCUUUUGGACGCCUUUUUUUCUCGGAAAGUGUAACAUGUGACCCUCUGCAGGCCUGCAGGCAAGCUCUAGAGACAGAAUUUCUCCACAUCAGAGGUGUCCACUUCUCAGUGUCUGGCUCUGAAAGCAAAUUGAAAGAUAAUGUAAAAAUAUUGUUUUACUUUUCCAGUAUUUAACAACACAUUGGAUGUUGUUGUUUUUUG